UACGUAUGGUGCAAGCGUUAUCCGGACUUACUGGGUGUAAAGGGAGCGCAGGCGGCACGGCAAGCCUGAUGUGAAAGCCCGCGGCCCAACCGCGGGACUGCAUUGGGAACUACCGGGCUGGAGUGCCGGAGAGGUAGGCGGAAUUCCUAGUGUAGCGGUGAAAUGCGUAGAUAUUAGGAGGAACACCAGUGGCGAAGGCGGCCUACUGGACGGUGACUGACGCUGAGGCUCGAAAGCGUGGGGAGCAAACAGG
rnacentral:rRNA from 1 species